rnacentral:rRNA from 1 species
GACGAACGCUGGCGGCGUACUUAACACAUGCAAGUCGAACGGUAAGGCCCUUCGGGGAGAAGCUAGCGGCGGACGGGUGAGUAACACGUGGGCAACCCGCCUCAUAGAGGGGAAUAGCCUCCCGAAAGGGAGAUUAAUACCGCAUAAGAUUGUAGUACCGCAUGGUAUAGCAAUUAAAGGAGUAAUCCGCUAUGAGAUGGGCCCGCGGCGCAUUAGCUAGUUGGUGAGGUAACGGCUCACCAAGGCGACGAUGCGUAGCCGACCUGAGAGGGUGAUCGGCCACAUUGGGACUGAGCCACGGCCCAGACUCCUACGGGAGGCAGCAGUGGGGAAUAUUGCACAAUGGGGGAAACCCUGAUGCAGCAAUGCCGCGUGAGUGAUGACGGCCUUCGGGUUGUAAAGCUCUGUCUUCGGGGACGAUAAUGGCGGUACCCGAGGAGGAAGCCACGGCUAACUACGUGCCAGCAGCCGCCGUAA